rnacentral:rRNA from 1 species
CGCGUAGGCGGUGCGGUAAGUCACCUGUGAAAUCCCCGGGCUUAACUCGGGGCCUGCAGGCGAAACUGCCGUGCUGGAGGGUGGGAGAGGUGCGUGGAAUUCCCGGUGUAGCGGUGAAAUGCGUAGAGAUCGGGAGGAACACCUGUGGCGAAAGCGGCGCACUGGACCACUACUGACGCUGAUGCGCGAAAGCUAGGGGAGCAAACAGGAUUAGAUACCCUGGUAGUCCUAGCCCUAAACGAUGAUUGCUUGGUGUGAUCGGUACCCAAUCCGAUUGUGCCGCAGCUAACGCGAUAAGCAAUCCGCCUGGGGAGUACGGUCGCAAGGCUGAA